CACGUAGGGGGCGAGCGUUGUCCGGAUUUAUUGGGCGUAAAGCGCUCGUAGGCGGCUCGGUAAGUCAGGUGUGAAACCUCCAGGCUCAACCUGGAGACGCCACCUGAUACUGCCGUGGCUAGAGUCCGGUAGAGGAGCGUAGAAUUCCUGGUGUAGCGGUGAAAUGCGCAGAUAUCAGGAGGAAUACCAGCGGCGAAGGCGGCGCUCUGGGCCGGUACUGACGCUGAGGAGCGAAAGCGUGGGGAGCAAACAGG
rnacentral:rRNA from 1 species